GCAAUUUGAUUGUUUAAAUUGAUUGGCUUAUGAUAAAUCAGGCAUGAUUGGCUAGUUGGCAAUUGUAUUGAAAUACGAAUUGUUUGGUUGCCUUGAAAGAUUGCAAAUUACAAAAUUGCCAUAUCAUGUUAUUGAGUUUUAUUGUAUGGUGGAUUAUAUAUUAAUUAAUCACUACAGUAUGGGGUUUCUGUGGACCAGCCUUUUAGAGGGGCACGGUAAACCCCAUUAUAUUCUUACCUCGAACGGAGAGGCGCGUAGGGUAUCUCUUGGGGUAAAGCUUAGGGUUCACUUCACGCCAAACCACCACGUGAGGGGGAACUCAGCCAACGUCAAGGAACGGCUAUGUUUUCAAAACAAAAACAUGAUUUAUGUGAAAUGUGAAUUUUAAUAGCCUUGGCGGUCUCGGUAGAAUGCCUCGGCCAAGGUGUCCCUGAGAAUGGCUUUAUGGCACAAGUCUAGUUUUUAUGAAAU
rnacentral:lncRNA from 1 species